ensembl:lncRNA
CUUGAAGUUCGUGUUGCUGAAAGCCUAUCUGACUGCUGGAAGGGAUAAACAGAAGGGUCCUGCUCCAGGAGUCGCAGAGGCUAACCAGUGCAAAACAGCAAUUAUCUGUGGAAAUACUUAAACUCAUCUUUUCAUAGUGACAAAGCCAGUUCUACAAGGUUCAGCCUGGAAGCCCUUUGAGGUUCCUUGCCUGCCAGGACGGGAGGAGUCGAUCGCUGCUGGAUGAAAAACCCCAUCGAAUAAAACUUCAGUGCCUGUGUUUGGGGAUUUGUGCAGCAUCAAGCACGGUAUUGUUAAGAGAAGUAUAAUUCUUCAUGGAUGAGGCAAUGUCAU